GAUGAAGAACGCAGCGAAAUGCGAUAAGUAAUGUGAAUUGCAGAAUUCAGUGAAUCAUCGAAUCUUUGAACGCACAUUGCGCCCAUUAGUAUUCUAGUGGGCAUGCCUGUUCGAGCGUCAUUAAGUCCACUUAAGCCCUGCUUAGUGUUGGGAGACUGCUCCAGCGGUGCUACCCUGUAGCUACCCUGCAGCUCCUCAAAGACAGCGGCGGAGUUGUGGUAUCCUCUGAGCUUAGUAACUUGUUCUAGCUAUCGAGUACACCACUUCCCCUGCCGUAAAACCCUUAAUUUUUAAUGGUUGACCUCGGAUCAGGUAGGAAUACCCGCUGAACUUAAGCAUAUCAAUAAGCGGAGGA
rnacentral:misc_RNA from 1 species